rnacentral:lncRNA from 10 species
CACCUCUCAGUUUGAUGUGGCAGUUUUUUGCUGUGGUUAUGACUUUCAACAUACUUCCUGCUUUUCUUGCAAAACAGAGAAGACUCACUCCUCUGUGGGAGGCCACAGCCCAAAUGAUUGCUGGCUUCUUCAAGGGCUGGAGCAGGGCUUGCAGGGGAUUGCUGGCCUUCAGUGUGUGAGGUCUUUGGCCUUUUUCUACGUGAACAUCAAGAAACAAUAUCUGCUCUUGGAGUCACUGCCACCAAGGGAAUAACUUUACCUGGAAUAUGGACUGGGAGCUCAAGCCAAAAGCAUGGACAAGGGAGUCCCAGAUUACAGGAUACUAUUAUGACUUUUGCAUAAAUAUAAACUCCUAUUAGAUAAAUUGAUAAGAUGUGCUCUGGUUAGCUAUUGCUGUGUAACAAACCACCCCAAACAGUGGUUUAAAGCAAUGACAUUCUAGGGUUGGCUGGGCUCAGCCAGGUGGUUCUUAUGUGGUCUAUCAUUAAGGUGCAAAAAGAUAGUGGCUGGGUUAGGGCCAUUCUGAAGAGUUAUUCACUCACAGGUCUAGAACCUGGGCUGAAGGACUCAAACAGCUGGAGGAUCUAUCUAUCUAUCUAUCUAUCUAUCUAUCUAUCUAUCUAUCUAUCAUCUUCUAUCUAUCUAUCUAUCAUUAUCUUUCAAUCUCCUCCAUAUGAUCUCUCCCCAAAGUGGCUCCAGGGUAACCAGACUUCUUACAUGACAGCUGGAGCCUUGGAGUAAGUUUCCUAAAGAGACACUGGUAGAAGCUGCAUGAUCUUUUCUAAUCUGACUUCAGAAGUCACACUUCUACUACAUUCUGUUCAUUAAUGCAGCCACAAGGGCCCGCCCAAGUUCAAGAGGUGAGGAUACUGACUCUGUCUCUUAAUGUGCAGAGUGUCAAAUAAUUUACAAGCACGUUUCAAAAACCACCAGAAGUUGCAAGAAUGAAUCAGUUAGUGUUGAUGAAUAUCAAUAUAAUAUAGUUACAAAAUGAAUUAUUGCAAGAUUUAAAAUUUGCAAACUCUGAUAGUCACCUAGUGACCAUCUCACCAAGCAUUUCUAGAGGUGCCCACCACUUGAUUUCCAGCCUAGGUGCUGCCCUGGCCUAAGCAGAGACCCCAGUUAUACAUUGGAGUAGGCAAUGGAGAGUCAAGAUGACCUGAUUCUGUCAUGCUGAGUCAUAUGACCUUUGAUAUAUCACUUUAACUUACUGGGCCUCAUGUUUCUCCUGCAUAGUGGAGAUACUAGCCUUGCCUUACCUAUGUUGAAGAAUUGUGAUGAGACUCAAAUAAGAAUGUACUUUAUAACUGCAAAGUGUUCUACAAAGGAAGAGAAUGCUCCCUCCUGUUUCUUGCCUCUUCUGAACACUGGUGAAGCCAUGAGGCCUUAAGAACCUUGUCACAUUAAAGGUUAACCCUCCAGGAAUCUUCUGUUACACAUUUCUUCCCAAUAGCCCUGGGUUCUCAUGGUGUCCACUGGCGCCUAUUUACUGGGUUCUUCUGGGAGGGAUGGAGUGUUUGGCUUUUCCCCACGUGGCUUGACUGCUGGCAAUCACCUCUGUGUGCUUUUUUUUUUUUUUUUUUUUUUUUUUUUUUAUGGAGUCUUGCUCUGUAGUCCAGGCUGGAGUGCAGUGGCAUGAUCUCAGCUCACUGCAACCUCUGCCGCCUGGGUCCCGGUUCAAGCAAUUCUGCCUCAGCCUCCUGAGUAGCUGGGAUUACAGGCACGUGCCACCAUGCCCAGCUAAUUUUUGUAUUUUUAAUAGAGACAGGGUUUCACCAUGUUGGCCAGGCUGGUCUUGAACUCUUGAUCUCGUGAUCUGCUUGCCUCAGCUGCCAAAGUGCUGCGAUUAUAGGCAUGAGCCACCGCGCCUGGCCCUGUGUGCUCUUUAUUAUGGGAUGGCUUUUCCAGUCCACAGGGAGGAUCUUCCCUACAACUGACAGCAUAAGGCUGGGUUCAAGGGGUGAAAUGGACAGUGCUUUGGGACCUGGUGGCAGAAAAGCUAAUGUGAAACUGACAGAAGAGAAAUUUAUUUACCAACUCUCCAAUCUACACCUCCAACACAGACUUGCUUUUCUUUUAAAGGACCCAAGUUUGCUUCUUUUCAAAACAUUAAAAAUAUUUAGUCAGAGACAGUUCAGCCUCUCAGUGCUUCCUCUUUAGCAGAGAAGAUCCAGAAACACCUGUCACAGGCACAACCUAUGGAUUUAUUUAUUUAUUUAUUUAUUUAUUUAUUUAUUUAUU